AUUGAACGCUGGCGGCAGGCCUAACACAUGCAAGUCGAGCGAGCGGCGGAUGGGUGAGUAAUGCCUGGGAAUCGCCCAGUCGAGGGGACUAACAGUUGGAAACGAUUGCUCAUACUGCACACGAGUGGACUGCCCCGGUGGGAUUAUCAAGUUGGUGAGGUAAUGGCUCACCAAGGCGACGCUCCCUAGCUGGUUUGAGAGGAUGAUCAGCCACACUGGAACUGCUACACGGUCCAGGCUCCUACGGGAGGCCGCAGUGGGGAAUAUUGCACAAUGGGGGGAACCCUGAUGCAGCCAUGCCGCGUGUGUGAAGAAGGCCUUCGGGUUGUAAAGCACUUUCAGCGGGGGGGCGUUACUCGCAGAAGAAGCACCGGCUAACUCCGUACCAGCAGCCGCGGUAAUUC
rnacentral:rRNA from 1 species